AAAUAACUAAAAUAUAAAAUCAGUUUUGAAAUGUCUUUAGCUUCUGUCAUUAAAUUCUAUUGUGUUUUUGUUUGCAGUUUCCUGGGGCACCAACCCUGCAGUUGUCUCCUUGGAAAAAGUCAAUUUUGGCUUGGAAUGAGGAGUACAUCUGGAGAAGGAAUUGAGAGGAGGAAUAUGAUUAAAUGGUGGUACUUGAAGUCCUUUUGGAGCUUAUGCCCAAAAUUCCUUCUUUAUUCCGCAGCACUUACAUUAGAAAGUGACACUGCAUGAAAAUUUUCAUUACUCUGUUUAGAAGGAAACCUCUCCUUUCAAAAUCUCCUCUGGCCAGGUGAUUUACAGGAGCAUAUGUGAAAGGAAAACACCUUCAAAAGUGUGGUUAUCCUGAUCACCAGCAUCUCCACCCUGCAGCUGCACGAAGAUCAGAGGCGUCAGAGGUGUGACAACGCCUGAAUUUCUUAGAAAUGUUUUGUCUUUUUGAGUCACCUCUUCCUGGAGCAGUUCUGUAUCAUUGCAUGCAAAGAAUGUUCCAAAAAUAUCAGUACUGAUAUACAAAUAUUUUGUUCUCUGGCCUAGCAAGUUUUGUUUAAUUUAUAACCUCACACAGGUAAUAUUAACUAUAGCUAAAUCAGUUACAGAUUUACUCUGGAAAUUCCCUUUCUGUAUGGAAAAU
rnacentral:lncRNA from 1 species